UAAGGAAUAUUGGUCAAUGGACGCAAGUCUGAACCAGCCAUGCCGCGUGAAGGAUGAAGGUCCUCUGGAUUGUAAACUUCUUUUAUCUGGGACGAAAACGGGAUUUUUAUCUCAAUUGACGGUACCAGAGGAAUAAGCACCGGCUAACUCCGUGCCAGCAGCCGCGGUAAUACGGAGGGUGCGAGCGUUAUCCGGAUUUACUGGGUUUAAAGGGUGCGUAGGUGGGCUUAUAAGUCAGUGUGAAAUCUCCGAGCUUAACUUGGAAACUGCCGUUGAUACUAUAGGUCUUGAAUUAUCUGGAGGUAAGCGGAAUAUGUCAUGUAGCGGUGAAAUGCUUAGAUAUGACAUAGAACACCAAUUGCGAAGGCAGCUUACUACAUAUAAAUUGACGCUGAGGCACGAAAGCGUGGGGAUCAAACA
rnacentral:rRNA from 1 species